rnacentral:rRNA from 1 species
UACAGAGGUGGCAAACGUUGUCCGGAUUUAUUGGGUGUAAAGGGCAUGUAGGUGGUCUUGUAAGUCAAAGGUGAAAUGGCCCGGCUCAACCAGGUCAUUGCCUUUGAAACUGCCGGACUCGAGUACGGAAGAGGAGAGCGGAAUUCCCAGUGUAGCGGUGAAAUGCGUAGAUAUCGGAAGGAACGCCGGUGGCGAAAGCGAUCGACUGGACCUUUUCUGACGCUGAGGCGCGAAAGCCAGGGGAGCAAACCGG